CAUAUGAAAAAAUUAAAGCAAUCCAAAGAAAUUGUGGAGAUCGCUCAAGGUCUUCCAUUGCUUCUUGAAGUUAUGGGUUCAACUUUAUCAUUAUGUGGACAAACUAAAGAAAUAUGGGAUGAUUACCUAGAGAAGUGGAGAAAAGGUCCCAUUGAGAAAACUCAAGUAAGUUGAUGAUAAGUUAUGAAGCAUUGGAUCUCAGUCAAAGGCAAAUAUUUCUUGACAUAGCCUGUCUUUUUGUUGGAUAUGAUAAGAAUAUAGUAAUAUACAUGUGGAAAGAUUGUGGUCUAUGCCCAAUAGAAGGUCUUGAAGUUCUUCAAUUGAUGUCAUUGAUCAAAAUUGGAGAAGAUAAUAAAUUGUGUAUGCACAAUCAAUUAAAAGAUCUCGGUAGAGAAAUUGUUUCUCAAGAAAGUGGUGAGCAAUUAGAGAAGCAAAGUAGAUUGUGGAAUCACAAAGAUGCAUUGAACGCACUACUGAGCAAGAAGAAAAAUGAAAAGCUCCAAGCCCUCCGUCUAAUGUUUGAGGAUUCGUCAGAUUAUCGUUUCACUUUCGAAGGAUUUGCAGCAUUUCCAAAUCUAAGGUUCCUUCAUAUGGAUAGUCGAAAACUCACUGACGAGCUCUUUUCUGAGGUUACACUUCUUUGGCAUAACAAGUCCUUGGUCACAUCACUGACGAACUCUUAUCUGAGCAAGAAGCAACUUCUUCCAGAUUUAAGAUGGUUCUCUUGGCAUAAUUCUCCUAUGCGAAUCUUGCAAAUAAACAAUUUUUCAUUGAGUAACGUAGUCAUUCUUGAUUUUUCAAGAAGUAAACUUACUCAUGAUUGAAGCGGAUGGAAACAUAUCAAGAGAGCAGAGAAAUUAAAAGUUCUUAACCUUUCGGAGUGUGAGCUAUUGUUCAGGACUCCUGAUUUCUCUGAAUUUUUAAAGUUGGAGAGAUUGAUUCUUGAAAAAUGUGAAAGAUUAGCUGAAAUCCACUCAUCAAUCGGUCAACUGAAGUUCUUAGUUUUCUUGAACUUGAACUUCUGUAGUGAUCUCCGCUAUCUACCACAAGAGUUGGGCGGAUUGCCAGCCCUCGUAGAACUUCUCCUUGAUGGAACUUCUAUACGAGAAAUUCCGCAUUGGUGGGUUAUGAAGAACCUGAAGAAGCUUUCAAUGGAUGCAACACCAAUUAUUCAACUACCUGACUCCAUUGGGGCACUUAUAAAUCUUGAAAGCUUAUCUUUGAAUUGGUGCUCGAAUAUGGGCAGACUUCCACACUCCAUUAAGGAAUUACGAUCAUUAAUUAAGUUGGAUCUAUUGGAAACAGGAAUCACAAAGUUCCCUGACUCUAUGAGAAGUCUAGAGAAUCUGAAAGAAUUAAAACUUUCGUGGUGCUAUGGGUUAGGGGGCAUCUCUGACUUGCCUAAACUUCCCAUAAGCUUGACUUCUUUGGCGAUCUCGUCUCCAUCUUUGAUAACAAUGCCAGAUCUUUCGAGCUUGAUCAAUCUAAAACAACUAUUAUUGUGCAUGGGAGUGCGUGAUGUCUCUGGCCCAUCUGAGCUGGUGCAACUGCAAGAUCCCAUGCCUUCGUGGAUUGGUAGGUUAUCCAAAUUGGAAGUCUUGACCCUGACACUCCCACACAUGACCAACCUAUCUCCUGAGCUAGGUAUGCUUCCUCACUUGAGAUCUCUUCAUCUUCAUGGUUGCCAAGCUCUGGAAUGCAUUCCGCAGAUUCCCUCGAGUGUCUCAAAGCUUCACAUCAUAGAUUGCCCAUCACUUACCACACUUGAUAUCUCCACCUUGAAGAACCUAUCGGAACUGUAUGUCCUUGCCACACCUCUGGAGAAUCUGUCUGGGCACGAACUUUUCUACAGUGUGCCAGAAUGGAAGAUAAGUAAGGACUAUGCGCACGAUUUGCAAGCGCAUUUGAGAUCAAAGAUGUUGGAACAGCACGGACUCACAAAAAAUAUGUUGGGGCGUAGUAGAGAAAUGGAGAGAGGGUAUUUUUCAGUUCUUGGGAAAAUAAGAAGAUAUGUCUCUUAAGUGAAGAGACGAUUGGUUAAGAUCCAAAAUCACGCUUACAAAGACUCGACGCGGUGGAGUUUAUAUGCAUACAACUAAAAGAAGACAAACUGCUCCUCAUUUCAGGACUAAAUGGAUUCAGUGUAAAACAAGAUGCAAGGAAGCCUUUACUUUAUAUAUCUCCAUAUUCUAUUGAACGACACUUGGGUCCUCGCCCGAGAGCAAAUUGUUGAUAUGGCAAGGCUUACUACAUCUAAAGUAGAUUAGAGGGAAGGCCUUCAGAGACCUGCAAAUUGCAGUUGUAAAUUCUUAGGAGCUUCAUUUCAGUAUGGACUGUUCUGAGUUCCAGUUCAAGUUUACUAUAGUGGGUGAGAGUGGUUUCUUUUGUGGUGUUUUCCAGUUUCGAUCGGUUUGCUACAUUGAUAAGUCCCGUACCCUCUCCUUUUUUUCUUGUUACUUAUGUCUUCUUGCUGUGGAGAGCUCUUGGAUGUUUGAUAGGUUCAGUUUUCACUAGAACUGGGUGAUCCGUAUUUUGUUGAAUACCAGCAGGAUUGUCCGCAGAAA